ensembl:snoRNA U3 Small nucleolar RNA U3
AAGACUAUACUUUCAGGGAUCAUUCUAAGUUUCUAGACUUAGAAAUGUGUGUUCUAAAGUGUUUGGUCUCGCCAACCCGAUGAUGAGUCGUGAUAUUUCCUGGAGCGUGAAGCUGACAGAGAGUAAUGAUUCACUUCAUGGUUUCUGUCAUUGAUGAUUGUUUCUUUACUUCUUGUGUGGCAUUAGGGAAGCCGCGAAUAUGAUCCAGAGUGGG